AAGCUAAUUAGCGUCCGUUAAAAAAAUUAGCGUCCGUUUGGCAGACGCUAAUUUAUUGGUCUUACCGAAAUCAAUCGACCAAACUGGGAAAUUACCGUCCAAUCGUCCAUAACUUCAUAUGGUCAUACUCAUACCCCUAAAUAAGAAAUAAAAUCCUCUCUCACCGCUUUCUCUCACUCAAUUCUCUCUCACCGCUCUCUCUCACUCAAUUCUCUCUCACCUCAAUUCUUUUCUCUGUCUAACUCUUCAUCUCCCUCAAACUAUUCAUUUUCCUCAGAAAAAUUGUUGUUUUCGUUAUGUCUCUCUUUUAGAUCUGGUAUUUUUGUUCAGUUGGUUGUGGUUAGGGUUUUGUUCAGUUGGUUGCAUCAUCGCCGCUUCUGUCUCUAAGCAUCAUCGCCGUCUUCAAGCAUCACCGUUGCUUCUUUAUCAGGUUUGUUUGAGUUUGAUAGGAUGACUUUGGAAAGGUUGAAGAUUGAAGAUUUGUAUAUUGAAGAAGAAAUGAUUUGUUUCUAAUGUAUUAGAUAGAUUUUUUGUUAUUAUUUAUUUAAGUAAGAUUGUAAAUUAUUCACAAAUUUUGAUUUAUCAUUUCUAUUUACAUUGUAAUUACUUUUAUUACAUAUAAUAACAAUUAUAUUUUUUCCUCUAAA